UGCGCCUACGGGAAGCAGCAGUGAGGAAUAUUGGUCAAUGGUCGGGAGACUGAACCAGCCAAGCCGCGUGAGGGAUGAAGGUACAGAGUAUCGUAAACCUCUUUUGUCAGGGAACAAAGGCGGGGACGUGUCCCCGGAUGAGUGUACCUGAAGAAAAAGCAUCGGCUAACUCCGUGCCAGCAGCCGCGGUAAUACGGAGGAUGCGAGCGUUAUCCGGAUUUAUUGGGUUUAAAGGGUGCGUAGGCGGGCUUUUAAGUCAGCGGUAAAAAUUCGGGGCUCAACCCCGUCCGGCCGUUGAAACUGGG
rnacentral:rRNA from 1 species